AUACGGAAGGUCCGGGCGUUAUCCGGAUUUAUUGGGUUUAAAGGGAGCGCAGGCGGAGAUGCAAGCGUGACGUCAAAUUUCGGGGCUCAACCCCGUCUCGCGUCGCGAACUGCGUCCCUUGGUUGCGGGAAGGGGAGGCGGAACUCGUGGUGUAGCGGUGAAAUGCAUAGAUAUCACGAAGAACUCCGAUCGCGAAGGCAGCCUUCCGGCCCGUCAACGACGCUCAUGCUCGAAGGUGCGGGUAUCAAACAGGAUUAGAUACCCUGGUAGUCCGCACAGUAAACGAUGGACACCCGCGGUUUGGCCGGUAUGGCUGAGCCGCCAAGCGAAAGCGUUAAGUGUCCCACCUGGGGAGUACGCCGGCAACGGUGAAACUCAAAGGAAUUGACGGGG
rnacentral:rRNA from 1 species